rnacentral:misc_RNA from 1 species
AAGGAGUCUAACAUAUCUGCGAGUAUUUGGGUGUCAAACCUGAGAGCGCAAUGAAAGUGAACGUAGGAGACACGCGCAAGCUGCAGCUUCGACCGAUCUGCAUCUUUAGUGAUGGAUUUGAGUAAGAGCAUAUAUGUUGGGACCCGAAAGAUGGUGAACUAUGCCUGAAUAGGGCGAAGCCAGAGGAAACUCUGGUGGAGGCUCGUAGCGAUUCUGACGUGCAAAUCGUUCGUCAAAUUUGGGUAUAGGGGCGAAAGACUAAUCGAACCAUCUAGUAGCUGGUUCCUGC